rnacentral:lncRNA from 1 species
AAACUUACAAAAAUAUUGGCUUAGACUUAUUCUAGAAACAGAAGUGAUAAGAUGGUAUUAAUACAUUUUACACAAAUGGUGGUUAUUUUAAUGCAGAUGCUAUACUCAAUGCUUUACACAUAUUAUCUCAUUUAAUCUCAUGAGGUAGGCUGUAAGCAUCUGGUCCAAAUUCACUCUGCUAUAAAGUGGAAGAGCCAAUAUUCAAACUCCAAACUUAAACCACUAUCACACACAAUCACAACUCAUAAAUUUUAGGAAUUGCAUGCCUGUUCCAACCAUGACACCAUUGUUCAAAACUCCACCUAAAUUCCUGUUGUCAAAUCCACAGAGUCUUGGCAACACAGAGGCCACUGGACAGAGGCAUAACCUUGCGUGGCAGCUGCACGGGAAUUGGAUUUGGCUCAGGUGUUUCAGAUGACUAAGAACAAAGGGGACCACUCUUGGUAUAGAAGUUCAUCUCGUCGGGAGCAUCUGUGGUUCUUUUAUAAGCAAUGUACAUUCUACAAUAGAGGCAGACCCAGAAAUAAUUCAGAUAUUGGAGUUAGAAGAUCAGGAUUCUAAAAAAACCAAAAGAUCCUGCCUUACUAUGCACCUAUGGCCCUUCAAAGGCGAGAGUAGAAUCUGCUAUGAUUUAGAAGCAAGCAAUAAAAAGUACACAUCAGGGGCAGAGUAAGUAUUUGUGAACAUUGGAUGGUGAUGAAGAAAAGGAAAUGGUGUCUAGUAUCCUACCUGGCCUCAUGGACCAAGACUAGAAGGAUUAGAGGCAAAGUCGAAGGAAGCUGCCACCAUAAAGGGUUCUGUGAAUGCUGUUUGGCUGAAAUGUGUGACAAAGCACUGGGAAGGGUUUCAUUGCAUUAGCUCAGGCCAUAGCACGACCCUUAACCAACACCUUAAGGUGAUGGUCCCCUUGGCAUAAAUAUUGGUGUUAAAAUCGAGGUUAACCUUAGUGAUAGUAUGGUUAAGAGUCCCCUGCAUGACUUUGGAAGUUGAAGAUGCUGAUCAGGAGAACUAGAGCAGGAAAGAGAAAAUAUGACUGAGGCUAAGUGGUGACUUGGUAUUGACUGAUAGGUGAACACAGGAAUGAAUUUCAGCGAGAACCCCCAGUAACUGUCUGGGGAGUGGAGACUGUGUAUGAACAGGACAGAAAAAAAAGCAGAUUCGGGUAGUGUCCUGUCGUGUGUCUCUUUUACAGUCCUGAAAUGAAGGACUUUCAGUGUUUUCAUUGAGCACCAAUCAAUUCCCUCUUUACAAAAGACCAUAUUGGAACAGCAUCAAGGUUUAGGGAUAUUAAAGCAAUACAGUGACACUGGAAUGACCACUGAGAACCAGCGAACUUCUUCAGCCCUUAUAUCCUCAGGCACUCUGGAAGCCAUGAAUCUGGUUUUCUUGCUAAACUGUGUGUACUGCACAGAGUACAAUGGUAAAGGAACAAAUAUUGGCUCUAAAAUCUCUUGUAAAGGGAAGGGUGGUCAUCCCUUUAGAUGGCAAAUUGAGUUUCUGUAAUGGGGUUUGCUCUGAUGUUGCAUUUCCACUCAGGCAUCAAGACAUUCUGUUGUUUAAAGCCCUAGAUGGGUGAUAUUUCUUUCAUGUGCAAGGCCCGAAUGCUUCACUGAGCUCUCUCUUACCCACACACACUCAUUUAAACCUUGGUCAAAAUUAUCCUUUAGCAUCUGCAUCUUCUCAGAAGGCGGAAGGGUCAAUGGGGAUAAUCAGGAGAGAUGAGGUGCACUUUCAGAAGUUGGAGCUGAGAAGGUGAUGGAAGUAUCUGUAAAGUCGUUGAACAGCUGCACGAACUAUAGGGGAAGCAUUUCUGGAGGCAAAAGGGGAAUAGCCCUUUCCUCUUAAACCAAAGCGAGCACAGCUCCAAAGGCACUUAGAUGGAGAGUUCAUCGGAAUGUGAGCUCUAAGAGUGGCUGAGAAUCUGACAAAAACAGCCAUCUGCCAACCCAAAAUUAAAACUCCUCUGUUUAGCACCCAGUAGAGAAAGUCAACCAGAUUGACUUCGCAAACAAAGGACCUUAAAAGCAUCACCUAAGAAAGUGUGUCAGGAUCCACAGACAUCCAGAGCAUUCUCUAUGGUUCAUUACUUACAUUAUUCUUAUCUAUUUACACAUAAUGUUUAGAUGUAAAAUCCUUACAAUGAAAAGGGUGUAUAUGCUUUAAAAAAGGCACAACAGGGAUCUAGAACUAGAAAUACCAUUUGACCCAGCCAUCCCAUUACUGGGUAUAUACCCAAAUGAGUAUAAAUCAUGCUGCUAUAAAG